rnacentral:lncRNA from 1 species
CCUCCCCACCCAAAAGAAGGACACCAAAUUUCUGGCUGGAGGUUGAGACUGAUCUUAGCGUCAGGAUGCUCAAGAUUCUCUUGGGCUAUGUUCACUUGCCGGUGUGGUGCCCUGCAACGCUCGAGAUGGCGGCCGCGGUGCCAGGUAUUCAUCUCCAGUCUAUCUCUUGGUUUCAGUUAGUUCAAUUCCACGGGAAUCAGAUCGGCCUCUUUGGAGAUUGGACUCUGGACACGGCUUUCUUUUCAGCCUCGCUGGUGCGGCGCCGGCCGCCGGGUAAGGCCUCAGAUUCGUCGACAAGAUGAGCAGCACAUGGUUCGGGAGGGUGCCGGCCUAGACGUGCCCAACCCCGUCAUCUGAUUUCCCCAAGAACACAGCUAAAAAAGAAGUUGUGAAUCACAAGAAAUUGGGGUUGCGUCGCAGAGAGAGAACGAGAGGUUGAGAGUUUAGAUUUAUUUCAGUUCUUUUAUUCUGUGAUGAUAAUACGAAGUCCUGUUACUCCCUUUUACAGUAGUAUACACACUCGCUUCUAUAUAUGGUUUCCAUCUAGCGACCCAAAAGAGCACACAACGAAGAGCUCAUGCGACACAAGUCUAUCCUGUAGGUUCCUAUAGGGCGAUGAUGGCAGCGCCAAGGCCUAAGGGCAUCACGUAUGGACCAACCUACCUACUCAUUUCAGGCGAGGACUGAGGCUUGGUAGUUCUAAUGUUGGCUGAUUGGAUCAUAUCUAUCGAAUCAGUGUAAAAAUAUAAUGUCUCCUUGCUCGAGGUUUCUAGCAAAUGCAUUUUCAUGAGUGGUCCGUUGGUUUUAUUUCGAAGUUAAUUAUUUGUUCCUGUCGUUCAUUGAGAUUCAAAUCCUUCAAUUUAUUUUUGUUCACUCCUCAUGACACAGAUGUGGUGAUCAUGAAAAUGUUGCACAUAUGCAUCUCGAUUUCGAUUUGCAUGCUGCACAUAUGCAUCUCUAUAUUCCAAC